ACCUUUUUUGGGCCUUUUGGUUAAGAUCUAGUGUUUGUUCUUAUCAGUUUAAUAUUUGAUAUGUGGGCCAAUGGCACACAAGAUAUUAAAUUUAUUUUUUUAGGGGAACGAUCCAUCAUAGUAGUUUGUUGCUGGGGUCCUUGCACGUCGCCUAGCUGUUGCACCAUUACCUUGGCCGCGCCCCAUCC